GCAAGUCGAGGGGCAGCAUGAGUACUUGUACUUGAUGGCGACCGGCGCACGGGUGCGUAACGCGUAUGCAACUUACCCUUUACUGGAGGAUAGCCCGGGGAAACUCGGAUUAAUACUCCAUAGUAUCACCAGAUGGCAUCUGAAGGUGAUUAAAGAUUUAUUGGUAAAGGAUGGGCAUGCGUAUCAUUAGUUAGUUGGUAAGGUAACGGCUUACCAAGACUUCGAUGAUUAGGGGGCCUGAGAGGGUGAUC
rnacentral:rRNA from 1 species